rnacentral:rRNA from 1 species
AAGUAAAAGUCGUAACAAGGUUUCCGUAGGUGAACCUGCGGAAGGAUCAUUAACGAGUAAACAGGGGAGUUGUAGCUGGCCGCAAGGCAUGUGCACGCUCCCUACUCAAUCCCACCUUACACCUGUGCAUCUAUUGUAGGUCGGGUGGCUUGGCUCCAUGUCAGGCUGUCCUUCCUAUGUCUACACAUACACUUUAUAGUUUCAGAAUGUAAACUGCGUAUAACGCAUCUAUAAACAACUUUCAACAACGGAUCUCUUGGCUCUCGCAUCGAUGAAGAACGCAGCGAAAUGCGAUAAGUAAUGUGAAUUGCAGAAUUCAGUGAAUCAUCGAAUCUUUGAACGCACCUUGCACUCCUUGGUAUUCCGAGGAGUAUGCCUGUUUGAGUGUCAUGAAUAUCUCAACUCACCCGGUUUUUGUAAAUUGUGGUGGGCUUGGACUUGGAGGUAUGCUGGCUUUACURGUCGGCUCCUCUUUAAAUGUAUUAGCUGGACCCGUUACGGAUCAGUACUCGGUGUGAUAAUUGUCUACGCCGUGUCUGUGAAGUGCCUUAGUGGAUCAGCUGCUAAUCGUCUUCGGACAAUUUGACAUUUUGACCUCAAAUCAGGUAGGAUUACCCGCUGAACUUAAGCAU